rnacentral:lncRNA from 1 species
AGGGGUCAAGAACAGUUUCUGCUAUUUCGUGAUCUGAUCCCAAACACUCAGGUAGGGUUUCCGAAACAAAGGUACAUUCAGCUAUGCUAUUACAAAACCGACACGGUAAUAACGGAUCCAUUGCUUGUUUGCAGAUGCAGGUUUGAGACUGCCUCAGUUCAGCUUCUCGAGUAGCUCGUUGAUCUUGUCCCCGCGGUUGCCCGAGUCGCCACCAUCCUUGAAGGGUUUCUUCUUCAUCUGCAGCCUCCUCUCCGGACACUUGAGCUUGAAGGGCAUGAGAAAGCUCGCCGUUUCCCUGAAGUGCGGCCCGACCGUGGAGAUUUCGUGUACGACAUCUUCUAAACAUAUGACGCCGUGUUCUCCAAGAGCCUGUUUUUCAAGAAGCACAUGUAACGAUUAUCAAGUGUCCAUUUCAAAAUCAUCAUAAGAGAUGAUUCAGAAAAUAGUUCUGCCGCAGGAACGCACAUGGUAACGACGAUAAUUAUCCAAAAAAAGUGUUGGAUGUGUUAUGUUCGGUGCAUCAGAGUCUGAAAAUUACUAUUAUUAGUCCACAAUUGAUCCCUGAAGGUAUUCAAGUUUCUUAGCAAUUGUGGAACUGGUUACUUCCUAUGCCUAAUGUUAUUAGGUAGCCGUAGGCAUGCCAAAGCUUUAUUUGAAUCGAAUGCCUACACCCCAAUCUUUAGAAGAUGGCGCAGAUAUUAUUAUACCUUCUCGAUUAGAUCAUUGCUGGUAAGGGGGAAAGGCUCCUUGUCGAAAUACCCGCGACCCUUCUUGUAGAUAAGCUCCUUCACAUUCUUCAAAUUGGGGAACCUAUCGUGACACCAAUUAUUAACAACAUUCAAUCACUGUAAACUACAAACUGACGAAACAAGCCACACAAUGGGGAAGAUAUCUUCAUUCAAUUACCCAUAGGUGACAAACGGCCCAACAGCAGCAAGCCUCUUGAGGUUUGCCUCGGUGGCCUUGAGGAAGACUCCUGUGAGGACCUGGGUCAGCCGCAGCCUGGCCAAGAUCUUCCUGAUUUGCGGGUGCAAGUCGGCAGUGCUGCAAUCAGACAACGAAGAGUUGGACGUUAAUAAUCGCUAUGCACUAUGAGCAAGACAGACGAGUGGAUGCUUUAGGUAUAGGCACUGACCCUGGGAUGCGGAUGGCGAAGAGCAGGUUGGCGUGUACGGGCUCGGCGGGGCGCAGCUUGCGGACCUUGAGGCGCGUGCGCAUCCGCAGGAAGUCGAGCUCCUUGUUGCGGAACUCCCUGACGAAGUCCUCGGGGCGCUUGAUGGCGCCCUUGGCGUCGUGGCGGCGGCGCUGCCUCUUGGCCGCCUUGCGCUCCCGGUUCUUGGUGGCCCACUCCUCGUUCUGCUUCCUCUUCUUCAGGACCGUCUCCCGCACGAACGGCAGCUGCUGCGUCCCCUCCUCCUCCGCCAUGGCCGGCGGCGCUGGCUUCUCUUCUCCUGGCGCGUGGGGGGUGGCUAGGCGGCGGAGGCGGCGGUCGGGGAGGGUUUGGGAAGAGACUUGACGAUAUUUCGCUGCUGGGGUCUUAAGGUCUUGCAGCGCUUAGUGGGCUGGGCCAAGGGCCGACCGUACAACACUUGCUGGGUUUCAAUUUGAGGAGGCCCAGUUGGGUGGGGGAAAAUGAACAUUUUUGGCAGGUGCCGUGCUUCUCCGUUCUCCCCGUUCCGUUCGCGUCUGGGUCGUAGUCGUACAAAACCUUGUUGCUCUCGCUCGUUCGUGGUCCAAGUCUAACCCUAGCCGUCACCCCCUUCUUCCUCCCGGCAGAUAUCAGGCGGGCGGAGGGAGACGUCCUCGCCGCGACAGCAGACGCCGUCCUCUGCCCUGUGACCCCGCUGCCGACGGCCGCCGCGCGCGCCGAAGGUUCUCCUCCCCCAUAAAAGGUAUAUAUACUGUAGUUUAUGUUCGUGCUGCCGGUGAUCUCGCAAAGGACUCAAAUCGGAUUGUAUAGGAUCUUCCUUUCCUUCUAAUAAAGGGUGAUAGCUUUACUCUUAUACGCAAUUUAUCCUCGGAUUGAUUGGUGCUUAUGAUGUUCGUUCUGCUCAUUCAGCUUUUGAGAUUUAUUAGGAAACAUACGAUAUGGCUGGGGGUAGCACGGAUGCAGCAACCAAGGAGAUGGAGGCAUUGCAUGUUGGGCAAACCAAGGAAACAAACGUAAGUGCUGUGCUGCACAAUUUUUAUUUUAUUUUUUUUGCUCUGAAUUGAACCGUGAAUGUUCUUCCUUUUUCACUUAUGUUGUUCAUUCAUGGAAAAAUGGUUUGGGAUGAAGAAAAACCAAAUAGGCUAUUGACCGAUAUUAUUCUGCUUUCCAGAACUGGUAUUUACCACAAGUUGAUAACUACCAGUUGUUUCUUGCCAUAGUUGCUUUUUCAUUGCCUUAUUGGUAAAACUUGGUCAAACGGUGUCCCCUGAAUUCUCCUCGUAACUGUUUUGGAGCCUCUGACCACAUGCCAUCACUAGCCAUGCCAUGCCCGAGUUAGAAAGUGAUAUGUGAUUACAACAGCCCUACAACUGAUGCCAACUACUGUGGUCAUGUGGAUUGCUGAACCUCCCAUGUCAUCCUUCUCUCGAAUGAUCCUUGCGCUGAUGUAUAUCUUUCUUAUGGUAAAAUAAAUAACCUUCCCAUUUUUGCCGCAGGAUAUUCUGAAAAAUGCGUCAGAUAGCAAUGGUGGCGCCACGGGAGGAGCUCAGUCGUCACCACCAGCAGAUGAUGAUGAUGCACAAGUGGAUGGUCCAUCUGAAGAUGGAGCAGGAGGUGACAAUUCUAAUUUGCAAGAUCUCAUUUAUGUGUUUCUCAUAGAGCUGGACCGGUUGAUCUCUUGCUAUUCUCAGUAUAUCCUGGCUAGCAUUUGGAAUCUGGGAUAUGAAACAUGUGAUUAAUCUAAUUGUUGUGCCUCAAAUGGAUAGCUCCAGCGGCUGCGAAGAAGAAAAAGAAGAAGAGCAAGGCCAAGUGAGUUGUAUUAUUCAGUUGAACAAUUGAUGUUCUUGUUUGGUUGCUCUAUUGUACAAGCAUUUCACUUGUUCUUGUAGAAAGAAGAAGGACUCCCUUCAGCAGACAGAUCCUCCAUCAAUCCCUGUGGAUGAGCUUUUCCUUUCAGGAGAUUUUCCUGAGGGAGAAAUCCAGCAAUACAAGGAUGAGUAAGUACUGAAUUAUAGGAAUACGGUGUUUUUUAUAUCUCCAUUUGUCGCUGAUGAAGGACUCUGCAAAAUGUUAAUUAUCUUUUCUUUCGUAAAUUAAUCAUGUUACUGCUCUUCAGUAAUUUAUGGAGAACAACUAGCGAAGAAAAGAGGGAACUGGAGAGACUACAAAAACCGAUGUACAAUUCUGUUCGCCGAGCUGCAGAAGUCCAUCGACAGGUUUAGAAUAUUCUAGCCUACUAGCCUCUUUAAUUUUUUGCAGCUUCGCAACCUGUAUCUUUUGUUGGUACAUCUAAACAAUGUAAAUAUGGCUUGCUAGGUACGAAAAUACAUGAGGAGCAUUAUAAAGCCUGGAAUGCUAAUGAUGGAACUAUGCGAGACUUUGGAAAACAUGGUUCGGAAACUUAUUAAGGAGAAUGGACUGCAAGCUGGUAUUGCCUUUCCAACAGGAUGCUCGUUGAAUUGGUAUGGUAUUGCUCUAGUGUACUUCCUAGUACUGCGUCCCCUUCUCACAUUGACGGAAGAAUUUUUUGCUUAGGGUCGCAGCUCACUGGACUCCAAAUUCUGGUGAUAAAACUGUGCUACAAUAUGAUGAUGUGAUGAAGCUGGAUUUUGGGACACAUAUAGAUGGUAUGUCUGUUUUAUUACUUUGUUUGAUUCUUUCUUCAUUGAACUUUGGUGUAUACUUAUUGCUUUGUCCUUGUAAGUACUCAUGAUAUUAAGAAUCUCAUAAACUAACAUGAUAGUGUGAUUAUUCCCAGGGCACAUAGUUGAUUGUGCAUUUACCGUUGCAUUUAAUCCCAUGUUUGAUCCAUUGCUUCAAGCAACGAAAGAUGCCACAAAUACUGGAAUCAAGGUAAUUCUACACAUUUUGUUUACUCUUCCAAUGUUGUGGUACAUUUUAACUCAAAAUGUACUCAGAUACUACCAAAUGAAUGCUUUCCGUAAGCAGCUUUGCUCGUAGUAUUUCUGAUAGCAGCUCUACUUAGUGGAAGAACACGGUGAUAGUUUUCGUUAAAGCCUGUGCUUUUGGUUACCUGCUGUAGUGUCUGUUUCAGCAUGCUGUCAUUUCUCCAGCUUUUUAUAUAGUGUUUUGGUUGGAUCUGAUCUGAGUUUCGUUUUUCACCUGUUAAUGGUCUGAUCUAUGGAUGUUUGAAAUCAUAUCCCCCAAGUCAUGUCUAUUCUUUGUUUAAUAAUGCUUAAUCCUCCAUUCCAGGAAGCUGGAAUAGAUGCACGGCUUUGUGAUGUCGGUGCUGCAAUUCAAGAAGUCAUGGAGUCAUAUGAGGUUGAAAUUAAUGGGAAAGUUUUCCAAGGUAUGUGUUGUCUUUUCUUUCCCAUUCUGCACUAGUAGAAUUGUAGUGACAGCAUGACGAUUUAAAUGGCUUCUUUGUUUUGCGGCAGUAAAAAGUGUGCGAAACCUCAAUGGACACAGCAUUGGACCAUACCAAAUCCAUGCUGGUAAAUCAGUUCCGAUUGUAAAAGGCGGAGAGCAAACAAAAAUGGAGGAGGGUGAAUUUUAUGCCAUUGAAACUUUUGGGUCUACAGGUAUGUCAUUAUAUAGCUUUAACUUGUAAGCCCAGAUACACUAAGUCAUUUUCAUCACAUUACUCACAGUUUUUAUAUCACUUUCUAUAAGAGUAUCUAACUAGCAUGGCUUUUGGCUUUACAACUGAUGUCUGUUUUCCCUACUUUUUUCAAUUUUUGGACAGUUUUACAAUUCAUAAGCGCCAUUCUGUUUGUAGGAAAGGGAUUUGUGAGGGAGGAUUUGGAAUGCAGUCAUUACAUGAAGAACUUUGAUGUUGGGCAUGUACCCUUGAGGGUAGCAAAAGCCAAGCAGCUACUGGGGACAAUCAACAACAACUUUGGUACACUUGCAUUUUGCCGCCGGUACUUGGACCGCAUCGGCGAGACCAAAUAUCUCAUGGCACUGAAAAAUCUAUGUGAUGUUGGCAUUGUUCAGGUAUGUGAAAUAGAAUAUACCACCGUUUCCAUCCGAAUGCCUUAUCAUGGACAUGGUCACUCACGGUUUCCUGACCUGUUUUGCAGCCGUACCCUCCGCUGUGCGACGUGAGGGGAAGCUAUGUGUCCCAGUUUGAGCACACCAUUUUGCUCCGGCCAACCUGUAAAGAAGUCAUAUCCAGAGGCGACGACUACUGAUUGGUGCUGCGUCUCCUCUUUGUACCUGCCGUUGCAAGCGAUUAGUGUUUUACUACCAUCUUGGGUGACCUGUGUUCGUUAUGGAUCAAAUGGCACAUCAGAAUCGGACAAAUAAUGCAGUUACAUUGUACCCUUUUGUUUUCUGAGAUUAAAAUUUGUGGAAACUGGUUUGUAAGAAUUGCUACCGUGUUGUAUUGCUUGAUCCCUCUAUGAAGAAUACUUCCCGAAGAUUUUUAUCAUUAGCGUGGGACAGCUGAAAAUGACACAAUGGUUUCUGUGAAGCGCUAAAGUGUUCUUUUAGCAACAAAAGCUGUUGGCAGGUUUUCUUCUCCCUGCGUCCCAUAUAAGUGUAUCUAGUCCCUCCGUUCCUUUUUGUAAGACGUUUUAGACAGUUGAUUUUAAACUGUUUUGGAAGCUGUCUGAACUAUCUAAAAGUGAACAGACAGAGUAUAUCCAUUUGAGCGGCUUAGAGCUUGUUUGGGACUGCUCUGUUUCAGAAAAGAUAAGCCAAACAGGAUAGCUCCACGAUAUGUCGCUCUGCAAAAAAACUAGAAUUUCAGGUACAACUUCAAAGUUUUUAUGAAGGUCCUGAGAGGGUGCUCCAAAAAUCUAGCUAGAAUUGGGGGAACUUACCCAUCACUGUCACUAGUAAGUGGAUGCCCCUUUAUUUCUUUCCCCUCAACCAAUCAAAUAUAUUCUUUUCACUAAAUUUUCUAUUCAUGAAACUGAAGCUAGAUGAAAGCCAAACAUUUUUUUGAUAAUGCUAUAACUUUUGUAUAAAACUGUUCUAAAAUGAAUUUGAUGAAGCGAGACUGAUUUUGAUGCAUUAAAGAAGCAGUCCUAAACAAGCCCUUAAUAUGGGGAAUAUGGGAUGGAGGGAGUAUAGUAUACUUGUACUAAUUUUGUCAUGCUUAUGCGUGGAGGGAGGAAUAUCAUUUACCAGAUGUAGAAAAGGGAGAAUCAUCCCACGGCGCCACCCACGAAUACUAAUAAUUUUUUAUAGGAAUUAGAAACUAUUUCUUCCGUCCCACAAUGUAAGAUUUUUUUUGUCAUUACACUAGGGCGGAAGUAGUUAGUUUAGCAAUGUUUUUCAAAGUGCGGCGUUUCGAUGCCCAGACUCAUCUACACUUGUUUAGUAAAAAAAAUUCAAAACAAAUACUAAUAAAGUGCGGCAUUUCGGUGCCCAGGCUCAGAAAUGGAUUUUCGUGUUUUUCAUCCACAACAUGGUCUACUUGUUUCUCUUCAAGCUCAACAUCAUCUAGAUUGGAUAGUACUUCCUCGGUGUUAAUAUAAGAUGUUACUACAACCAAGUCAACGUUGUUUGUCACUUGUUAGUCCGUUCCCGAUAAGUCAAAUGCUUAAUGUUGUUUUUGUGAUACCAAUGUUGGAUGUAAAGUGAAUGUUGUAUCUCUGGUUUACUUCGUGUCUUGUGAAGUUAUAUUAAUGUUGUUUUUAUUGUGUUCAGUAAACUAUGAAGUGUGAUCACCAGUGGCAUGUCUUGUUCCUGAUUGGUGAUGCGGAUUUAGUGUUUUGGACCAUGAGAUAAAUGUCGGAAGGUGAUGGUGGAUUUUUGCUCUUCGAUCAAACAAGAUCAACAAAAAGGUCAUUCAAACAAGUUACUUAGUUUAGUUUUUUCUUAACACAGCAUAGUUCAGAUAGUUAAGUUUUUUUUGGUGAAAUCACCCCAUCACGUUCAUGUGUGCUAUUUUUUCUGAAUUUAUUUGAGGCUCUUUGAUGAUUUUCGUUCAAUGAAAGAAGAUGUUCUUAACGACUACAAAAGCACAUGUGAUGACUCCGGUAAUAUGAAGAUAUUGUGUCAGCUCAAUACUCAUAUGUGCUCAUAGGGACAAGGUGUGCAUACAUGUGUUCAUGAAGAUGAGCAUAUAUGUGCAUGUAAACACAUCUACUAUGUUAAAAAAACAGGUGUUAAGGGCCUGCCGUGUGGUGUGUGGCAUCUUGUCCCGAAUGACUCCAUCGACAUCCUUUUUAUUCCAGCAUGAACCAGAGAAGGCACGUUGCCACGUCAUCCUUUUGCAAUCGUUCGAGCGGGAUCAUGAGCGACUCGACCACAACCCAAACCCCCUAUCGAUUCAUUUUGACACCCACAACCACGCGCACACCCCCACACUAUCGAUUCACAGUAGCUGCGGGGUGGAGGUGAGCAUCGCCCGAUAGUUUCAAACGUGUACCACAACAGGGAAGGCGGAAGGGGGCGGCUAGGGUUAGAGAUCCAUCGCGUCUAUUCGCCCUACCCUAUGAACGACCGGGGGGCUGGGGUCCCUGGCGCGGCUUGGCCUCCAUGGUGGACACCGACGUGGGAGAGAGCUUUGAUGUCUACUACACAACAUUCUUCUUGUAGACUCGUGUUUGGCCUCCAAGCGUAGAGUUUUGUAGGACAGUAGCAAAUUUCCCUCAAGUGGAUGACCUAAGGUUUAUCAAUCCAUGGGAGGCGUAGGAUGAAGAUGGUCUCUCUCAAGCAACCCUGCAAUCAAAUAACAAAGAGUCUCUUGUGUCCCCAACACACCCAAUACAAUGGUAAAUUGUAUAGGUGCACUAGUUCGGCGAAGAGAUGAUGAUACAAGUGUAAUAUGGAUGGUAGAUAUAGGUUUUUGUAAUUCGAAAAUAUAAAAAACAGCAAGGUAACAAAUAGUAAACAUCGAGCAAAACGUUGUAUAAAUGCUUGGAAACAAGGCCUAGGGCCCAUACCUUCACUAGUGCAAGUUCUCUCAACAAUACUAACAUAGUUGAAUCAUAUAUAAAUCCCUCACGUGCGACAAAGAGUUCACUUCAAAGUCAAAAAUAACGGAGAACAACCGAAGAAAUUAUUGUAGGGUACAAAACCACCUCAAAGUUAUCUUUUCCGAUCAAUCUUAUGAGCUAUCCCUAGAAGUGUCACGAACAACCCUCGAGUUUGUACUAAAAUAACACCUUAAAAUACAGAUCAACCAAAACCCUAAUGUCACCUAGAUACUACAAUGUCACCACAAGUACCCAUGGGCUUGAUUAUACGAUAUUCAUCACACAAUUUCAGAUUCAUGAUGCUCAAUCCAACACAAAGAACAUCAAAGAGUGCCCCGAAGUUUCUACCGGAGAGUCAAGACGAAAACAUGUGCCAACCCCUAUGCAUAGAUUCCCAAGGUCAUGGAACCCGCAAGUUGAUCACCAAAACAUACAUCAAGUGGAUCAAUAGAACAUCCCAUUAUCACCACGCAUAUUCCAUCGCAAGACAUACAUCAAGUGUUCUCAAAUCCUUAAAGACUCAAUCCAAUAAGAAAACUUCAAAGGGAAAACUCAAUUCAUCACAAGAAGAUAGAGAGCGAGAAACUCCAUAUGAUUCAUCUAUAUUAAUAAAGCUCGCGACACAUCAAGAUCAUGACAUCUCAAGAACACGAGAGAUAGAGAUUAAACACAUAGCUCCUAGUACAUACCCUCAGCCCCGAGGAGGAUUACUCACACAUUAUUAUGGUGAGAAAGAGAGAUUUGUUGAUGGAGAGGUGUAGCCCCGAAGAGACGGAGGCGAUAGCGGCCACGACACCGGCAACGGGUGGCGGCGGUGGCGACGGGCAGCGACCCCUUGCCCCUCCGCCUUCCUUGGUCUUGGUGCUGCAAUGGAGGAGCAUCUCCCCUUCUUGGCGGCUGCCAAGGGAGAGGCAAAUUCGUGGCUCUUGGUGGCUACACCAAAAUUAUGAUUUUUCUCUCUUUAUAUGUGCCUCUGUGGUGCUCUAUGGCCUUACGAUGGAUGGACCCUUGAUCCAAUGGCUCUCGAUGUAACAUCCCAAAAUUAUAAAUUUUGGAAUGUUAAUAUAAUUAUUAUUAGAUUGUUUGUUGGUUGCCUGAGUGAUUGAAACUUGUGUGAAAUUUAAAACUUUUCGAAACUUUNNNNNNNNNNNNNNNNNNNNNNNNNNNNNNNNNNNNNNNNNNNNNNNNNNNNNNNNNNNNNNNNNNNNNNNNNNNNNNNNNNNNNNNNNNNNNNNNNNNNNNNNNNNNNNNNNNNNNNNNNNNNNNNNNNNNNNNNNNNNNNNNNNNNNNNNNNNNNNNNNNNNNNNNNNNNNNNNNNNNNNNNNNNNNNNNNNNNNNNNNNNNNNNNNNNNNNNNNNNNNNNNNNNNNNNNNNNNNNNNNGAAUUUGAACGGAGAUAUUUGCACUUGAAUUCUUUUGCAUUUCCAUUCGUUUUCUUCGUGCAAGAAAUGCCGGGAAAUACAUUCUAGAGAGGAGGAACAUGACCCUCAAACCCACGGGCAUUUUGAAAGUUAUUUGAACCCUAAAACUUAGAGGGUCAUUUGAAAACUAUUUGCAAAAGAAAAUAAAUCUUUUAGGUAAUUUUGUGAAAAUAAUUUUUUCUGAAGUUUUUAUUUUGCCGUGGAAAAAUGCCCAUCAUUUAUAUUUUAUUUUUCUGAUAAUUUUAGUAUAUAGAAACUCUUUAUUCCAAAUUGAUUUGAAUUCCCUUUUAUCGUUUUAGUUUCCUAGUUUUAAAAAUAGGAAAGAAAUCGUUUCUAUUAGGAAACUCCUGCUGGCCCAUUAAGCACUUUCCUAUUCUGGCCCAACAGAGAUCAUCUUCUUCCUCUAUCUCUUCUUCACGUCACAGAAACUUGCCUUCCAUGGACAGGGGAAUCCCCACCUCCGGGAUUCGCGAAGCACCUUCCCUCCGAGCGCCUCCCGUCGCCUCUAUAAGAACCCCCAUGGCCUCCUCGUUCCAUUCCCGUUGAAACCACCGNNNNNNNNNNNNNNNNNNNNNNNNNNNNNNNNNNNNNNNNNNNNNNNNNNNNNNNNNNNNNNNNNNNNNNNNNNNNNNNNNNNNNNNNNNNNNNNNNNNNUAAAAGCAACGAGAGAAGAUGACAUGACUUCUUCAAUUAUACAGAAUUUGAACGGAGAUAAUUGCGUUGAAUUCUUUUGCUUUUCCAUUUUUCCAUCGCGCGAGAAAUGUCCGGAGAAAACUCUCUUGCACGCAAGAGAGAGAGCGGAGGAAAAUGACACUCCAAAACUGCGGGCAAUUUAUUGGAGUGGAGAUAAUAUGACUUCUCCCCUGUGAGUUAAAGUCACCAAUUUGGUUUUGCAAAUUUUCUAAAGUCCGAAGUAUUUUUUUUUUGUUGAGUUUUUCAAUCGAGUUGUGUGACCUAUUGCAUAAAACUCUUCUUUCGAAAGUUUUGCAUUAGGUGGAACUAGGGUUCCUAUAUAUAUUAUAUAUAUACUAGCUGUAUAUAUUUCUGUUUUGUUUUUCUCCUAAGUAUUCUAGUGUAUAUAUAUAUAUUAGUACCUACUUUUUUUUCUAGUAUUUGUUAGCUAGGAAAUAUUUUUUAUUGUUUUUUUCUUUUUGCUACUGUUUUCUAGUGAUAAAAUCUUACUGUGAUAUAAUUUUCAGAAUUUUUAAAGUAUUUUUUACUGGUGUUUUCAACAGAAACAAGUUUCUGCCCUACCGGCGCGCGAUAAAUUCUUUUGCGUAGUCUUUUGCAAAUCAUUGCAUGUGAUGUUAUUUUUACUUGUGGCAUGAUUGAAUUGCUUAUGGUGUGCUUUGUGUUUUUAUCGGUAGAUCAUCCGGAGUGCGAAGCAUGUUACUUAGAGACGCUCGAGCAGGACAACUAUCAUCAAGGCAAGUCAUCUUUGAUCAUGUUAUUUUACCUAUGUUUUCAAUGCAUAGUAGAUCACCUUCUUUGCCCUAUUUGCAUGCUGCCUAGGUACUUGGACACUUUAGUCAUAGGUGUAGUAUCCUGUGGUAGGAACACCAACACCCCGAUACUUGGCCCCGGGACGAUAAUGUUAUAUAUGCUAUGCUCUAGUAGACGGGUUAUCGGUUGAGUGUAUACCACGAGUGGAUGCGAGGUUGAUAUAAUAAUCAAGACCGGACUAAGACAAGAUUUUCAAGACCUCAGACGCAAUGCAACACUGGGUGAAGGACGGUUGACCGGCUCCCUGGAAAACCCAGUGGAUGCCCGGGAUGCUGGAGAGGCCAUGUCAUCCUGCGGAAAGCUUCACCCAGGCUCAAAGAGACGGACGGAUAUUUUCAAGACUCAAGGCUUACCUGCACAGCCACAAGUCAUUAUGGGCUCUGGCUUGGUUGGACAACGCGGCGACUCUGGACAGGCGAUGUUAGCAGAUGUAGACGAACGGUAGGAAUGGAUGGGCACCGACAGGGAUUCAGAGGGACCCAUUGAAAGACCAUGUUUUGAUCAUCCGGUCUUCAAACACCCUGAAGUGCGAGGACAUACACGGAGGCGAUCAAAUCUUGUGGGGAACGUGUGCAAAACUCUGCAGAGUACUCAAACCUAAUCGAUUAGCCGUGUCCACGGUCAUGGACAACUUGAGCCAAAGGAACUGAAGUUAUCUGAAAUUUUCAACACAAAUAACAAUAUUUAUGUGGGUAUUAUUGACAACAUGGGUACGAGAAUUGGUUGGUGGAACCAUCUCGUUAACAACCAACAAUGUACUAACAUUUUGCUUUUAGCCCUCUCUUGAUGUAGGAGAAAACUUGCUUUUCGCUAAAAACUUAUAGCCCCACCUGCCAUAUAUGCAUAUAGUAUAGAUGAUUACUUUUCACCCCUCUCUUAUGUGACUUGCCGGCAUAUUCAAUAUGCUGACCUACACGGCUGCAACGUCUUAUGUUGCAGAUAUUUUUCUUCGACGAGUAAGAGUACGAUUCAGGGUUACGGUCUACACUCAACUUGCCGUUGGUGUUUAUUGGGACUCCACUCCCUUGACUGCUUCCGCUGAAAUAUUUAAGGUAUAUAUCAGUUUUACGCUAUUUUACAUGUGAUUGCACUUUGAUAUAUACAUUGAUGUACUGUGUGUGCCAGCAUACUGAUCCAGGGAUGGCACAGAAACACAGAGGCUUGACUCGUCUUGAGUCGGGUCGCUACACUCGGGCACCUCUAGAACCUUCCUAGGGGCUCCUCACAACCCUCAUGAGUCUCCAAAAUCGUGGCUUGGCCGAAUAUAUCACAUAUGUUAAGAGUUAGACUCAAUCACGUCAACAAUUCUCGCGAUCCCGUAAUAAGAUAUUUGCCUUCAGUAAAAUGGGUCGCCAGAUCGCAUACGAACUCCGUUUUGGACGAAUUUGUACUCUAGAAUCAUUGCCAUAAAAUUCCCCACAAGUUUCUAGUUUUAAUUUUUCCAUUUGACGCCGUCUCGAGGGGUCAAAGUGACGAUCUCUAAAAACUGUUUGUGGACAUAUUUCAGGAAAGUCAGAGUCCUCCUUCAACAAGGCUCCUUUUGCGUUAUUUUCGACAAUUUCUAAUUAAUGCCUACAAAAUAAAGUGUAAAACACGAACUUGUGCAAUUUUGCAACCAUUAAUAGGUUAGUCUCAAAAAAUAAUAUGAAAUUGUAGUAAAAUGAUUGUAAAACAUUCAAGAAUGAUAAUAUAACAACAUGGAACAAGCAAAAAUUAUAGAUAUGUUGGAGACGUAUCAGCAUCCCCAAGCUGAAUUCCUGCUCGUCCUCGAGAAGGUAAAUGAUAAAAACAGAUUUUUUUGAUGUGAAAUGUUGCUUAACAUGUUCAUAAAAUUAUUUUCUUCUUUGUAUAACAUGGAUAUUUGGACUUGUAAGUGAUUCAAAGCAAUAGUCUAGUUUUAUCAUAAUGACAUCAAUACUCAAGCAUGUCAACAAGCAACCAUGUCUUUCAAAAUAUCAACACUAAAGAAAGUUAUCCCUAGCCCAUCAUGCUCAAUCAUUGAUACACUCAUGAAACACACUCACAUAUUAGCUGUGCCCAAUGCUCAAGUACGAUCAUAGUGUUCCCUAGUUUGUGCUUAUAAGAGAAGAUGGAGAAUCAAAGCAAAAAUAAAAAAAAUUAUAAAGUAAAUAGAUAGGCCCUUCACAGAGGGAAGUAGGGAUUUAUAGAGGUGCAAGAUCUCAAGGUUUAAAUUGAGAGAGAAAAAUUAUUUUGAGUAGCAUGCUUUUCGUGUCAACAAAAACGACAAAGUAGCUCACAAUACUUUCCAUGCUAGAUACAUUAUAGGUGGUUUCCAAAAAGAAUGGUAAAGUUUUUACUCCCCCUCCACCAGUCAACCACACUCUAUGGUGAGCCGAAUCCACGGGUACCGUCCAUACCAACAACAUUCCUGGGAGAUUUUUGUUUCAUUAUAUUUGAUUUGAUUUUUGAGCAUGGAACUCGGCAUCCCGAAUACUAGCCACUUUCUCGCGAAUCAUAGUGAAUCAACACAUAUCGUGAUAUUAACCCACCUAGCAUGGAAAAAUAUUGGAUACUCCCCACCGUUUCAUGAGCGGUACAGGCACACAAAAGAGAAAAAUUAUUUUGAAAAUUUAGAGAUGGAACAUACAAAUUUGCUUGGAAGGCAUGGAAAUACCACAUAUAGGUAGGUAUGAUGGACUCAUGAGGUAAAACUUGGUUUAAGGAUUUUGGAUGCACAAGUACUAUUUCUACUUAGUACAAAUGAAGGAUAGCAAAUAGACUGGGAAGCAACCAAACCGAGGAACGAAAAAUCUCAUAAGUGAGCAUUAAGUCAUAACUAACACCGAAUAAUGCACCACAAGUAGGAUGUAACUUCAUUGCAUAACUAUUGACUUUCGUGCAUGCAUAGGAAAUCACAAACCUUAACACCAACAUUCCUACUUAAAGCAUAAUUACUCACUAACAUGACUCGCAUAUUACUAUCAUCAUGUUUCAAAUCUAUUACAAAGAAUCAAGUUUAAUUUGUCCCAUGAUCAUCAUGAAAGUUUUCAUUAUAUCCCUCUUGGAUAUCUAUCACUCUGAGACUAGUUUCAUAUAUUGCCAUUGCUUUUUCGACAAGCUCAAACAAAUUUAAAUGAAGAACAUGAGCAUAAAGAUUUCAUCCCUCAAAAACGUAUAAGUGAAGCAUGAGAGGAAAUGACAAGCUACUCUCAAAAGAUAUAAGUGAAGAUCAAUGAGUAGUCAAACAAUUAAGUAGCUAUGUGAGGACUUUCUCUCUCUCUGUCUUAAUAAAGAUUUUCAGAUCUGAGUACUUUAUUAAACAGAGAGCAAAAGGAAAACAUCACUCCAAGAAUAGCACGUAUCAUGUGAACGAGUAAAAAUUUAGGGCUCAACAUAGGCUAACCGAUAAUGGUUGAUGAAGAGAGGUGAGAUGUGUAGCAUUCCUAAGCUUAGAUGCUUGAGAGUUCUUGAAAUAUUUACUUGAGGUGCCUUGGGCAUCUCCAAGCUUGAGCUUUUGUACCUUGGUUUCACCUAUUCUCAAAAACUUCAUCCACACAAAACUCGAAAAAAAACUCGUGAGAUAGGUUAGUACACAUAAUAAUAAAUCAACUCUUUAUGUAAUGUCAAGACAAGUUGCAUAAUAAUUGCAAACAUCAUCUACUGUUUACUAUAAUUUCCACAAUUUAUAUCUAUCAGUAUAGGAUAUGAGAACUAUAGGAUAACUAGAUAACAAAACUAUGACAUCAAUCUGUCCAAACAGAACAGUGUAGCAAUUUAUUUAAACAGUGUACUUAUGUAAUUCAAACAAUUAUGAAAAUUUAGUACAUGCUAUAAAAUUUAUAUGAAAACACUGUGUAAAAAGUUCAGAAACUUUCCACAUUUCAGUAAAAUCUGAAAAUUCAAACACUACAGCACGAGUUUCUGUUUUUACACAUCACCAAUGAAAGCAUGCAAUGCAAGCACUGAAGGGGAACGUCGCAUGGGAAACAAAAAUUUUCUACGCGCACGAAGACCUAUCAUGGUGAUGUCCAUCUACGAGGGGGAUUUCAGAUCUACGUACCCUUGUAGAUCGCACAGCAGAAGCGUUAAUAAACAUGGUUGAUGUAGUGGAGCGUCCUCACGUCCCUCGAUCCUCCCCACGAACCUUCCUACGAACCGUCCCGCGAUCCGUCCCACGAUCCGCCCCGAUCUAGUGCCGAACGGACGGCACCUCCGCGUUCAGCACAUGUACAACUCGACGAUGAUCUCGGCCUUCUUGAUCCAGCAAGAGAGACGAAGAGGUAGAUGAGUUCUCCGGCAGCGUGACGGUGCUCCGGAGGUUGGUGGUGAUCUAAUCUCAGCAGGGCUCCAUCCGACCUCCGCAGAAACGCGAUCUAGAGGAAAAACCGUGGAGGUAUGUGGUCGGGCUGCCGUGGCAAAGUUGUCUCAAAUCAGCCCUAAUACCUCCGUAUAUAUAGGUGGGAGGGGAGGGGCCUUGCCUUGAGGCUCAAGGAGCCCCAAGGGGGUCGGCCGAAGGGGGGGGGGAGGAGAAAUCCUCCUCCAAUCCUAGUCCAACUAGGAUUGGAAGGUGGAGUCCUUCCCUUCCUUCCCACUUCCUUUUUUUUUCUUUUCUCUUUGAUUUCUUCUUAUCCUGCGUAGGGGCCUUCUUGGGCUUGCCCACCAGCCCACUAAGGGAUGGUGCGGCACCCCUAAGGCCUAUGGGCUUCCCCAGGGUGGGCUGCCCCCAGUGAACAUCCGGAACCCAUUCGUCAUCCCCGGUACAUUCCCGGUAAUUUUGAAAACUUUCCGGUAAUCAAAUGAGGUCAUCCUAUAUAUCAAUCUUCGUCUCCCGACCAUUCCAGAAACCCUCGUGACAUCCGUGAUCUCAUCCGGGACUCCAAACAACAUUCGGUAACCNNNNNNNNNNNNNNNNNNNNNNNNNNNNNNNNNNNNNNNNNNNNNNNNNNNNNNNNNNNNNNNNNNNNNNNNNNNNNNNNNNNNNNNNNNNNNNNNNNNNNNNNNNNNNNNNNNNNNNNNNNNNNNNNNNNNNNNNNNNNNNNNNNNNNNNNNNNNNNNNNNNNNNNNNNNNNNNNNNNNNNNNNNNNNNNNNNNNNNNNNNNNNNNNNNNNNNNNNNACAUGACCCGAGGGACUCCUGGUCAAUAUACAAUAGCGGGACCUGGAUGCCCAUAUUGGAUCCUACAUAUUCUACGAAGAUCUUAUCGUUUGAACCUCAGUGCCAAGGAUUCAUAUAAUCCCGUAUGUCAUUCCCUUUGUCCUUCGAUAUGUUACUUGCCCGAGAUUCGAUCGUCAGUAUCUGCAUACCUAUUUCAAUCUCGUUUACCGGCAAGUCUCUUUACUCGUUCCGUAAUACAAGAUCCUAUGACUUACACUAAGUCACAUUGCUUGCAAGGCUUGUGUGUGAUGUUGUAUUACCGAGUGGGCCCCGAGAUACCUCUCCGUCACACGGAGUGACAAAUCCCAGUCUUGAUCCAUACUAACUCAACGGACACCUUCGGAGAUACCUGUAGAGCAUCUUUAUAGUCACCCAGUUACGUUACGACGUUUGAUACACACAAAGUAUUCCUCCGGCGUCAGUGAGUUAUAUGAUCUCAUGGUCAUAGGAAUAAAUACUUGACACGCAGAAAACAGUAGCAACAAAAUGACACGAUCAACAUGCUACGUCUAUUAGUUUGGGUCUAGUCCAUCACAUGAUUCUCCCAAUGACGUGAUCCAGUUAUCAAGCAAAAACACCUUGGACAUAGUCAGAAGACCCUGACUAUCCUUGAUCAACUGGCUAGCCAACUAGAGGCUUGCCAGGGACAGUGUUUUGUCUAUGUAUCCACACAUGUAUCAAUAAAAUUAUAGCAUGGAUAAUAAACGAUUAUCUUGAUACAGGAAUUAUAAUAAUAACUUAUUUAUCAUUGCCUCUAGGGCAUAAUUCCAACAGUCUCCCACUUGCACUAGAGUCAAUAAUCUAGCCCUCACAUCACCAUGCGAAUUACAUUGUAAUAAAUCUAACACCCAUACAGUUCUGGUGUUGAUCAUGCUUUGCCUGUGGAAGAGGUUUAGUUAGCGGGUCUGCCACAUUCAGAUCCGUGUGCACUUUGCAUAUAUUUACGUCCUCCCCUUCCACUGAGUCGCGGAUGAGGUUGAAGCGUUGUUUGAUGUGUCUGGUCUUCUUGUGAAACCGUGGUUCCUUUGCUAAGGCAAUGGCACCCGUGUUGUCACAAAACAGGGUUAUUGAAUUCAGUGCACUUGGCACCACUCCAAGAUCCGUCAUGAACUGCUUCAUCCAGACACCCUCUUUAGCCGCCUCCGAGGCGGCCAUGUACUCCGCUUCACAUGUAGAAUCAGCUACGACGCUUUGCUUGGAACUGCACCAGCUUACCGCAUCCCCAUUAAGAAUAGAUACGUAUCCGGUCUGUGACUUAGAGUCAUCCGGAUUUGUGUCAAAGCUUGCAUCGACGUAACCUUUUACAGCGAGCUCUUCGUCACCUCAAUACAUGAGAAACAUCUCCUUAGUACUUUUCAGGUACUUCAGGAUAUUCUUGACCGCCGUCCAGUGAUCCACCCCUGGAUUACUCUCGAACCUACCUGCUAUACUUAUGGCCAGGCAAACGUUUGGUCUAGUGCACAACAUUGCAUACAUGAUAGAACCUAUGGCUGAAGCAUAGGGGACGGUGCUCAUAUGCUCUCUAUCUUUAUCAGUUGCUGGGCACUGAGUCUUACUCAAUCUCGUACCUUGUAAAACUGGCAAGAACCCCUUCUUGGACUGUUCCAUUUUGAACCUCUUCAAAACUUUAUCAAGGUAUGUACUUUGUGAAAGUCCUACCAGGCGUUUUGAUCUAUCCCUAUAGAUCUUAAUGCCUAGAAUGUAAGCAGCUUCUCCUAGGUCCUUCAUAGAGAAACUUUUAUUCAAGUAAUCCUUUAUGCUCUCCAAAAACUCCAAGUUGUUUCCAAUCAGCAAUAUGUCAUCCACAUAUAAUAUUAGCAAUGCCACAGAGUUCCCACUCACUUUCUUGUAAAUACAAGAUUCUCCAACCACUUGUAUAAACCCAAAUGCUUUGAUCACCUCAUCAAAGCGUUUAUUCCAACUCCGAGAUGCUUGCACCAGUCCAUAAAUGGAUCGUUGGACCUUGCAUACUUUGUUAGCAUUUUUAGGAUCGACCAAACCUUUGGGUUGCAUCAUAUACAACUCUUCCUUAAGGAAACCGUUAAGGAACGCUGUUUUGACAUCCAUCUGCCAGAUUUCAUAAUCGAAAAAUGCAGCUAUUGCUAACAUGAUUCUGACGGACUUAAGCAUCACUACGGGUGAGAACGUCUCAUCGUAGUCAACUCCUUGAACUUGUGAAAAACCAUUUGCCACAAGUCGAGCUUUAUAAACGGUCACAUUACCGUCAGCGUCCGUCUUCUUCUUAAAGAUCCAUUUGUUCUGAAUAGCCUUGCGGCCUUCAGGUAGUACUUCCAAAGUCCACACUUUGUUUUCAUACAUAGAUCCUAUCUCGGACUUCAUGGUCUCCAACCAUUUGUUGGAAUCCGGGCCCACCAUUGCUUCUUUGUAAUUCGCAGGCUCAUUUUUGUCCAACAACAUUAUUGAUAAGACGGGAUUACCGUACCACUUUGGGGUAGUACGCGGUCUCGUCGACCUGCGAGGUUCGACAGGAACUUGAUCCGGAGUUUCAUGAUCAUCAUCAUUAACUUCCUCCUCAACCGGUGUCGCAACGACAGGGGUUUCCCCUUGCCCCGCGCCACCAUCCAGAGGGAUGAGAGGUUCGACAAUCUCAUCAAGUUCUAUCUUCCGCCCACUCAAUUCUCUCAAGAGAAACUCCUUCUCGAGAAAAGCUCUGUUCUUAGCAACAAACACUUUGCCCUUGUAUUUGAGAUAGAAGGUAUACCCAACUGUCUCUUUUGGGUAACCUAUGAAGAUGCACUUUUCCGUUUUGGGUUCCAGCUUUUCAGGCUGAAGCUAUUUGACAUAAGCAUCACAUCCCCAAACUUUAAGAAACAACAACUUUGGUCUUUUGCCAUACCACAGUUCGUAUGGUAUCGUCUCAACGGAUUUUGAUGGUGCCCUAUUUAAAGUGAAUGCAGCUGUUUCUAAUGCAUAACCCCAAAACGAUAACGACAAAUCGGUAAGAGACAUCAUAGAUCGCACCAUCUCUAAUAAAGUACGAUUACGACGUUCGGACACACCAUUACGUUCUGGUGUUCCAGGCGGUGUCAACUGUGAAACAAUUCCACAUUGUCUUUUGUGAGCACCAAACUCGAAACUCAGAUAUUCACCCCCACGAUCAGACCGUAGGAACUUGAUCUUCUUGUUAUGAUGAUUUUCCACUUCACUCUGAAAUUGCUUGAACUUUUCAAAUGUUUCAGACUUGUGCUUCAUCAAGUAGACAUAACCAUAUCUACUCAAAUCGUCAGUGAAGGUGAGAAAAUAACGAUAUCCGCCGCGUGCCUCCACACUCAUCGGACCACACACAUCGGUAUGUAUGAUUUCCAACAAGUCACUUGCACGCUCCAUUGUUCCGGAGAACGGAAUUUUAGUCAUCUUGCCCAUGAGGCAUGGUUCGCACGUGUCAAGUGAAUCAAAGUCAAGUGACUCCAAAAGUCCAUCGGUAUGGAGUUUCUUCAUGCGCUUUACACCAAUAUGACCUAAGCGGCAGUGCCAUAAAAACAUGGCGCUAUCAUUGUUAACUCUAACUCUUUUGGUCUCAAUGUUAUGUAUAUGUGUAUUAUCACUAUCAAGAUUCAAUAUGAACAAUCCUCUCACAUUGGGUGCAUGACCAUAAAAGAUAUUACUCAUAGAAAUAGAACAACCAUUAUUCUCUGACUUAAACGAGUAACCAUCUCGCAAUAAACAAGAUCCAUAUAUAAUGUUCAUGCUUAACGCACGCACUAAAUAACAAUUAUUUAAGUUCAUAACUAAUCCUGAUGGUAACUAAAGUGAAACUGUGCCGACGGCGAUUGCAUCAAUGUUGGAACCAUUUCCCACGCGCAUCGUCACUUCAUCCUUCGCCAGCCUUCGCUUAUUCUGCAGUUCCUAUUUCGAGUUGCAAAUAUGAGCAACAGAACCGGUAUCGAAUACCCAGGCACUACUACGAGAGCUGGUUAAGUACACAUCAAUAACAUGUAUAUCAAAUAUACCUGAUUUUUCUUUGGCCGCCUUCUUAUCAACCAGAUACUUGGGGCAGUUGCGUUUCCAGUGACCCAUACCCUUGCAAUAAUAGCACUCCAUUUCAGGCUUAGGUCCAGCUUUGGGUUUCUUCGUCGGAUUGGCAACAGGCUUGCCGCUCUUCUUCGAAUUACCGUUCUUUCCUUUGACGUUUCUCUUGAAACUACUGGUCUUAUUCACCAUCAACACUUGAUGCUCUUUACGGAGUUCUGACUCUACAACUUUCAGCAUCGCGAACAACUCGCCGGGUGACCUGUUCAUCCCUUGCAUGUUGUAGUUCAACACAAAGCCCUUAUAGCUUGGCGGUAGUGAUUGAAGAAUUCUGUCAGUGAUAGCCUCUUGCGGGAGUUCAAUCCCCAGCUCAGCUAGACGGUUUGAGUACCCAGACAUUUUGAGCACAUGUUCACUGACAGACGAAUUCUCCUCCAUCUUGCAAGCAUAGAAUUUAUCGGAGGUCUCAUACCUCUCGAUCCGGGCGUUCUUCUGAAAGAUAAACUUCAACUCUUGGAACAUCUCAUAUGCUCCAUGACGCUCAAAGUGACGUUGAAAUCCCGGCUCUAAGCCAUACAAGACUGCACAUUGAACUACUGAGUAGUCCUCCUUACGUGUUAACCAAGCAUUCUUAACAUCUUGGUCAGCCGUAGCGGGUGGUUCAUCUCCUAGCACAGCAUUAAGGACAUCAUCCUUCUUCCCAGCUUGCAGGAGCAACUUAAGAUUACGAGCCCAGUCUACAAAGUUGCUUCCAUCAUCUUUCAACUUAGCUUUCUCUAGGAACGUAUUAAAAUUCAGGGUGAGUGUCGCGUGAGCCAUGAUCUACAACACAAAUAUAUUCAAAGUGGACUUAGACUAUGUUCAAGAUAAUUAGAGUUUAACUUAAUCAAAUUACUUGCUAAACUCCCACUCAAAAAGUACAUCUCUCUGGUCAUUUGAGUGGUUCAUGAUCCAAUUCCACUAGCUCAAGUCUGAUCAUCACGUGAGUUGAGGAUAGUUUCAGUGGUAAGCAUCCCUAUGCUAAUCAUAUCAACUAUAUGAUUCAUGAUCGACCUUUGGGUCUCAUGUGUUCCGGGGCCAUGUCUGCACAUGCUAGGCUCGUCAACCUUGACCUGAGUGUUCCGCGUGUGCAACUGUUUUGCACCCGUUGUAUGUGAACAUUGAGUCUAUCACACCCGAUCAUCACGUGGUGUCUCGAAACGACGAACUGUAGCAACGGUGCACAGUCGGGGUGUAACAUCCCAAAAUUAUAAAUUUUGGAAUGUUAAUAUAAUUAUUAGAUUGAUUGAUUGUUUGUUUGCUGAGUGAUUGAAACUUGUGUGAAAUUUGAAACUUUUUGAAACUUUUGAAUGAGAGGGAAUAAAAUGACUUUCCCCUUCUCCGAUGAAUUCAAAUUAAAGCUUUUAAAAGCAACGAGAGAAGAUGUCAUGACUUCUUCAAUUAUACAGAAUUUGAACGGAGANUGAGUCGGGUCGCUACAGAGAUGGUAUCAGAGCACAUGUUGACUGUAGGGCAUGACCCUAGAAACUGGAAAUUUCUUAGGAUAGGAUCUCUCAAAAAUCUUAUUUUCAACAACACCUUUUACCUCUCAUCUCUCCUCAUUUCAUCAAAUGUUCUUUCUCACCUCAAAUAGUUAUACAAUCCCCUUACCCCUUUGACCUCAUGAAGGAUCAACCGACUCCCAUGUCAAAGUAAAGAGGAUAUCACCAUGUGUUUGAAGAAUUGACGCUACACCAAAAGAGGACUCAAAGACCCUGAAGUGUCCGAAUAAUUAUAUGACCAUUAGAAGUCCAAACCCCUGUUAUAUACCCACGUUAGUUACGAUGAUUUGUGAGCCGUCUUUGGUGUGUGUUUUCCAACGGCCACAAAUAAAACCCAUUCUCGAAAAGAUUGUUUGUACUGUGUGUAUCUCCCUCCCUCUCUUACCCGUCUCAUCCCCAAAACCUCAACCCUACCAGAUGGAGUAUGAAGCUGGACUUGUAGUCUCUGGACCAAUGACCCAGCUGGAAGCUGAGAUAUGGAUUCAGAACAUGGAGAACCACUUCGGGAGUAACUUGAUCUCAAGGAAGUAUGAAGUGGAACACGCUCUUCAGUACUUUACACAAAGUGCUGCAAUCUGGUGGAAAAUGCACCAUGCCAUACAAGGAUUUAGUGGAGCAGAAACCUGGGAAGAAUUCAAGAGGACUUUGUUAAGAUCCCGACUUAUUCAGAAGUGCUAUGAUAAUCCGAAGAAGAAGACUUGUGCAUGCAAGAUCUGUGGAGAAAUAGGACACACCCAGGAAGAACACAAGGAUGGAUGCACUCAUUGUGAAGAAAAUCACCCAGCUGAGGAAUGCCCAAGCAGUCAGGUGACUUGUUUCUUGUGUGAAGGAACCACCCACUACCCAGCUCGGUGUCACAUUUACCCCAAGGUGCAACAAGUUGUCAAGCAGCAGAAAGAUGUAGUGAAGGAAACCCUCAAGAAGAAGAUUCUAGAAGGACCGGUGAUGAACGAAAAUAUUGAAGACCCUGAUGGACAAGGUCUGACCAGAUUUUUCUCCAAUGCAUGCUACUCAUGUGGAGAAGAAGGAGAUUAUUCACAGGACUACACGAAGAGAAGCCAAGAGUAUCUGGGAUACUUCCCGACGGAAGAAGUGGAAUUUGAUCCACUUGAAAUAGAAGAACUGGCCAAAAUAAAGGAGUCCGGAAAGAAGAAAAAGUACCCUCAGAGGAACCAAACCUGUGCAGAUAUAGACCUGAGUCAUGUCAGAUGUUACAAGUGUAUGAAAUUUGGCCACCACAACUACAUGUGCUCAGGAAGGAAGCCGGGAAUCCAAGGAGCAAAAGCAGAAGCUAAGAAGCCUCGAGACUGGUCAGAACUCAUUUGCUUUUGUUGCAAGGAAGCAGGACAUUUUGCUAGCGAUUGUCCACAAAGGAAGAAAGCUAAGAAGGAGUAGUUAAGUUUUGGCCGCGGCAAUUAGUGUAAUAUGAAGAACUCUUGUUCUUCAUGAGAUCAUGGAGUGAAAUUUUUUGUAACGGAAGUCCCUGAGAUUGUAAUAACAUCAUGAAUAAAUGGAAUUUAUUGUCUCAUGAUUGCCUAUGUUGAAAAUGUAUGCAUUGUUUCUCUAUGAGCAAAGAUCUCUGAACAAUUAUGAGGAUAUGAGAAAAUAUGGUCUAUGCAGACAUGAGUAUAAUUCAUUUAAGUGUGGUAGUAAUCGGUGAACCCACAGGAUCCAUUGAGUAGGAAUGUACCAUGAUUACCAAGGAGACAUAUACAUUCGUCUGAGUACCUAUUUACUGACACCUGCAGAUGACAACUCUCUAGGAGUCAUACCUCAAGGGCCCAGAAACGAUCAUGACCCUGACCAGUGAUCAUGAUUACCCGAAAAUCCCGAAGGACAUGAUGAAGCACAUUCAUCUUGAAGGAGAUGCAGUCUACAAAGGCUACCCAUUUGUGGAAAAUGGAGUGGAACUUUGGUACGUGGAAGUACACCUCCAUCAUGUGAAAGGAGUUUGUCCAAAGACUAUGGGGAAAUACUUUUUCAUUUCGCGUGUACCACGAGCAACCUUCUUUGAUGCUGUUCGUGAAGCUGCCAUGGAAGCCAUACGUCAGAUUGGAGAAAUACUUGAAGCAAGACUCCGUCAUACCCAGGAAUACCUGAGUGAGGUACGUGCGGAGAUGAUAGAGAUGAAGCUCAUGACCACCGUGAUGAAGCAAAAGAUGGAUGAUUUCAAGGAGCACCUCGGAAAGUUCCAGUGGAACUAAGUACCUCCAAGAAAGACAGAUGAAUAAAGUUGGCAGACAUGCUUGACCAUACCGAACAAUGUGGAUGGCAGCAAUUGUAAUAGAGUACUUUUGAAUUGGAGUUUUUGAGGAUAAAUUAAGGAUGUAAUAAAGGAUUGAUUAUGAAAUGAAUAUGAUUUAUGGAAGAAGCUAUGAAGGAUCAGCAAACGUUUUCUUAGUAGCAUACGAAAACCCGAGAGCUGUGAAGAUACGAUAGAUGUUUCGUUCAGCUUGCAGAACCAAUGGAUUAUCCGAACUUCGUUCGUGGACAAGAGAAAUUCUGCAAUGCUUGUGGGGAUGCCCAAGUGUUAGAAUGCGAGAUUCGCUAAACCUUAUACAGCGAAAUGAUUUGGGUGCGGAAUGGAUUGAUCAGCAUGACGACUUACUCUUAUCAUUUAUCUUGCUAUUCGGAAUGGUAAAUCUGAGAGACUUACCCAUAUAGAGAGACGACGUUCUUUGAAGCUUUUGUUUAAGCCUUAGAAUGGUAUGAUGAAAGCCCAUGUACAUGGCACUUGUUGUCACGCGUAGGAAAUUUUGCGGUGAGGAUGAAAACCAAGACCCGUCUCUCUGCAGGAUAACCACAAAUGGUAGACCACCAUGAGAACCAUCGAUAUGUUAUUUAGAAUUGACCACGAGACUGUCAGUUAAGAAGACCCAGUGACGGAAGAAGCUUAUAUCAACGGGAGAGCAUCACCAAAGGAUUUAAUAUGAAGACUGUGCGAUGUCAGUUGCCAAAACCCCAGAGGAUCGUUAAAGCAUUUUGAGGGACCAGUAUCUCUCAUUUUAAGUGUGGUAGCAUCCCACCUUGCCGGAGUUUGGAAUUGUUAGAAGACCCCCAAACCCUAACCUUUCUUUCUAGCCUCUUCGAAUCUCGAGGAUGAGAUUCAUUUUAAGUGUGGUAGUUUGUAACAUCCCAAAAUUAUAAAUUUUGGAAUGUUAAUAUAAUUAUUAGAUUGAUUGUUUGUUUGUUUGCUGAGUGAUUGAAACUUGUGUGAAAUUUGAAACUUUUCGAAACUUUUGAAUGAGAGGGAAUAAAAUGACUUUCCCCUUCUCCGAUGAAUUCAAAUUAAAGCUUCUAAAAGCAACGAGAGAANGAGUCGGGUCGCUACACGGGGAGAACACAAUUUCGUCUUGAAAUUUUAGUGAGAGAUCACCUCAUAAUGCUACCGUCGUUCUAAGCAAAAUAAGGUGCAUAAAAGGAUUAACAUCAUAUGCAAUUCAUAAGUGACAUGAUAUGGCCAUCAUCACGUGCUUCUUGAUCUCCAUCACCAAAGCACCGGCACGAUCUCCUGUCACCAGCGCCACACCAUGAUCUCCAUCAACGUGUCGCCAUCGGGGUUGUCGUGCUACUCAUGCUAUUACUACUAAAGCUACAUCCUAGCAAUAUAGUAAACGCAUCUGCAAGCACAAACAUUAGUUUAAAGACAACCCUAUGGCUCCUGCCGGUUGCCGUACCAUCGACAUGCAAGUCGAUAUUAACUAUUACAACAUGAUCAUCUCAUACAUACAAUAUAUCACAUCACAUCAUCGGCCAUAUCACAUCACAAGCAUACCCUACAAAAGCAAGUUAGACGUCCUCUAAUUGUUGUUGCAUGUUUUACGUGGUGACCAUGGGUAUGUAGUAGGAUCGCAUCUUACUUACGCAAACACCACAACUGAGAUAUAUGAAUUUCUAUUUAACCUCAUCCAAGGACCUCCUUGGUCAAAUCUGAUUCAACUAAAGUUGGAGAAACCGACACUCGCCAGUCAUCUUUAAGCAACAGAGUUGAUCGUAGCGAUGAAACGAGUCUCUCAUAAGCGUACGAGUAAUGUCGGUCCGAGCCGCUUCGAUCCAACAAUAUCGCGGAAUCAAGAAAAGACUAAGGAGGGCAGCGAAUCGCACAUCACCGCCCACAACAUUUUUUGUGUUCUACUCGAGAUGACAUCUACGCAUGAACCUAGCUCAUGAUGCCACUCAAGGUGAACGUCGCAUGGGAAACAAAAAAUUUCUACGCGCACGAAGACCAAUCAUGGUGAUGUCCAUCUACGAGGGGGAUUUUAGAUCUACGUACCCUUGUAGAUCACACAGCAGAAGCGUUAUUAAACGCGGUUGGUGUAGUGGAACGUCCUCACGUCCCUCGAUCCGCCCCGUGAACCAUCCCACGAACCGUCCGGCGAUCCGUCCCACGAUCCGCUCCGAUCUAGUGCCGAACAGAUGGCACCUUCGCGUUCAGCACACGUACAGCUCGACGAUGAUCUCGGCCUUCUUGAUCCAGCAAGAGAGACGGAGAGGUAGAUGAGUUCUCCGGCAGCGUGACGACGCUCCAUAGGUUGGUGGUGAUCUAAUCUCAGCAGGGCUCCGCCCGAGCUCCGCAUUAACGCGAUCUAGAGGAAAAACCGUGGAGGUAUGUGGUCGGGCUGCCGUGGCAAAGUUGUCUCAAAUCAGCCCUAAUACCUCCGUAUAUAUAGGUGGGAGGGGAGGGGCCUUGCCUUGAGGCUCAAGGAGCCCCAAGGGGGUCGGCCGAAGGGGGGGGGGAGGAGAAAUCCUCCUCCAAUCCUAGUCCAACUAGGAUUGGAAGGUGGAGUCCUUCCCUUCCUUCCCACUUCCCCCUUUUUUUCUCUCUUUGAUUUCUUCUUAUCCUGCGCAGGGGCCUUCUUGGGCUUGCCCACCAGCCCACUAAGGGCUGGUGCGGUACCCCUAGGGCCUAUGGGCUUCCCCGGGGUGGGCUGUCCCCCCGGUGAACAUCCGGAACCCAUUCGUCAUUCUGAGUACAUUCUCGGUAAUUCCGAAAACUUUCCGGUAAUCGAAUGAGGUCAUCCUAUAUAUCAAUCUUCGUCUCCGAACCAUUCUGGAAACCCUCAUGACGUCCGUGAUCUCAUCCGGGACUCCGAACAACAUUCGGUAACCNNNNNNNNNNNNNNNNNNNNNNNNNNNNNNNNNNNNNNNNNNNNNNNNNNNNNNNNNNNNNNNNNNNNNNNNNNNNNNNNNNNNNNNNNNNNNNNNNNNNNNNNNNNNNNNNNNNNNNNNNNNNNNNNNNNNNNNNNNNNNNNNNNNNNNNNNNNNNNNNNNNNNNNNNNNNNNNNNNNNNNNNNNNNNNNNNNNNNNNNNNNNNNNNNNNNNNNNNNACAUGACCCGAGGGACUUCUCGGUCAAUAUCCAAUAGAGGGACCUGGAUGCCCAUAUUGGAUCCUACAUAUUAUACGAAGAUCUUAUCGUUUGAACCUCAGUGCCAAGGAUUCAUAUAAUCCCGUAUGUCAUUCCCUUUGUCCUUCGGUAUGUUACUUGCCUGAGAUUCGAUCGUCAGUAUCCGCAUACCUAUUUCAAUCUCGUUUACCGGCAGGUCUCUUUACUCGUUCCGUAAUACAAGAUCUCGUGACUUACACUAAGUCANNNNNNNNNNNNNNNNNNNNNNNNNNNNNNNNNNNNNNNNNNNNNNNNNNNNNNNNNNNNNNNNNNNNNNNNNNNNNNNNNNNNNNNNNNNNNNNNNNNNNNNNNNNNNNNNNNNNNNNNNNNNNNNNNNNNNNNNNNNNNNNNNNNNNNNNNNNNNNNNNNNNNNNNNNNNNNNNNNNNNNNNNNNNNNNNNNNNNNNNNNNNNNNNNNNNNNNNNNNNNNNNNNNNNNNNNNNNNNNNNNNNNNNNNNNNNNNNNNNNNNNNNNNNNNNNNNNNNNNNNNNNNNNNNNNNNNNNNNNNNNNNNNNNNNNNNNNNNNNNNNNNNNNNNNNNNNNNNNNNNNNNNNNNNNNNNNNNNNNNNNNNNNNNNNNNNNNNNNNNNNNNNNNNNNNNNNNNNNNNNNNNNNNNNNNNNNNNNNNNNNNNNNNNNUUUGGGUCUAGUCCAUCUCAUGAUUCUCCCAAUGACGUGAUCCAGUUAUAAAGCAACAACACCUUAUACAUAGUCAGAAGACCGUGACUAUCCUUGAUCAACUAGCUAGCCAACUAGAGGCUUGCUAGGGACAAUGUUUUGUCUAUGUAUCCACACAUGUAUCUAAGUCUUCAUUCAAUAUAAUUAUAGCAUGGAUAAUAAACGAUUAUCUUGAUACAAGAAUUAUAAUAAUAACUUAUUUAUCAUUGCCUCUAGGGCAUAAUUCCAACAAGCACCUAAUGCAAUUCUUGGAACUUUUUAUUGAAAAACAAGAUUAUAAAUAACAACUAACAUAGAAUAGCAAAAUAAAAUGAUGCUCCAAGCAAAACUCAUAUUAUGUGACGAAUAAAAAUAUAGCUCCAAGUAAGAUAUAUCGAUAAUGUUGAAGACGAAAGAGGGGAUGCCUUCCUGGGCAUCCCCAAGCUUAGGCGCUUGAGUAUUCCUUGGAUAUUAACUUGGGGAGCCUUGGUAAUCACCAAGCUUAGGUUCUUUUCACUCCUUAUUCUCCUCAUAUCGGUGUCUCACCGAAAACUUGAAAACUUCAAUCACACAAAACUUAACGGAACUUUGUGAGAAGGGUUAGUAUAAUAAAUGAUGAUCAUUCACUUAGGUAUUGUUAAGACAAGAUUCAUAAUUGUUCCCACAUGAUACCUACUGUAUUCUACUAUUCCCAUAAUUUAUAUCACUGAAUAUAAGCUAUGGGAACACUAAAACAAGCAAACCAUGCAUGCAAAACAGAAUCUGUCAAAAACAGAACAAUAUGUGAAGAUCUGUAGUGUAACCAUACUUCUCUGUCUCUAAAAAUUCUUAAACAUUAGGACAACACAGUCAAUUUGUAUAACAUCAUGUUUAAAAAAUUAAGUUCAAAAGAACGUUCUAGUGAAUUUACAAAAUUCCUGGACUGAGAGCAAAAGUUUCUGUUUUUAAACAUAAUCAAGGCAACUAUCAUCCACACUAUCCCAAAGACUUCACUUGGCACUUUAUUUAAAUAAAAGGCAUAAAACAUGAUUAUUACAGUAUCUUAAUCAUGUGAACACCAAAACACAGAAAGUAAAAGUGUUGGGUUGUCUUCCAAUAAGCGCUUUUCUUUAAAGCCUUUUAGCUAGGCAUGAUGAUUUCAAUGAUGCUCACAUAGGAAUAAUAAUUAUAACAUGCAAAAGAGCAUCAUGAAUCUGAUGACAAGCACAUUUAUGUCUAACCCACUUCCUAUGCAUGGGGAUUUUGUGAACAAACAAUUUAUGGGAGCAAGAAUCAACUAGCAUAGGAAGGCAAAACAAGCAUAACUUCAAAACUUUGAACACAUAGAGAGGAAACUUGAUAUUAUUGCAAUUCCUACAAGCAUAUGUUCCUCCCUCAUAAUAAUUUUCAGUAGCAUCAUGAAGGAAUUUCACAAUAUAACCAGCACAUAAAGCAUUCUUUUCAUGAUCUACAAGCAUGGAAAUUUUACUACUCACCACAUAAGCAAAUUUAUUCUCAUCAAUAGUAGUGGGAGCAAACUCAACAAAAUAACUAUCAUGUGAAGCAUAAUCCAAUUGAAAAUUAAAAUCAUGAUGACAAGUUUCAUGGUUAUCAUUAUUCUUUAUAGCAUACAUGUCAUCACAAUAAUCAUCAUAAAUAGGAGGCAUGCUUUCAUCAUAAUAGUUUUGCUCACCAAAACUUGGGGGACAAAAAAUAUCAUCUUCAUCAAACAUAGCAUCCCCAAGCUUGUGGCUUUGGAUAUCAUUAGCAUCAUGGAUAUUCAGAGAAUUCAUACUAACAACAUUGCAAUCAUUCUCAUCACUUAAAGAUUUAGUGCCAAACAUUUUAAUAACUUCUUCUUCUAACACUUGAGCACGAUAUUCCUUUCCAUCAUUUUCAUGAAAGACGUUGAAAAGAUGAAGCAUAUGAGGCAACCUCAAUUCCAUUUCUUUGUAGUUUUCUUUUAUAAAACGAAACUAGUGAAAAAUAAGAAACUAAAAGAUUUAAUUGCAAGGUCUAAAGAUAUACCUUCAAGCACUCACCUCCCCGUCAACGGCGCUAGAAAAGAGCUUCGUUGAUGGGAUGUGAGUGCCACUUACCUAACCUCCCCGGCAACGGCGCUAGAAAAGAGCUUGAUGUCUACUACACAACCUUCUUGUAGACUCGUGUUGGGCCUCCAAGCGCAGAGUUUUGUAGGACAAUAGGAAAUUUCCCUGAAGUGGAUGACCUAAGGUUUAUCAAUCCGUGUGAUACGUAUGAUGAAGAUAGUCUAUCUCAAGCAACCCUGCAAUCAAAUAACAAAUAGUCUCUUGUGUCCCCAGCACACCCAAUACAUUGGUAAAUUGUAUAGGUGCACUAGUUCUGCGAAGAUAUGGUGAUACAAGUGUAAUAUGGAUGGUAGAUAUAGGUUUUUGUAAUAUGAAAAUAUAAAAACAGCAAGGUAAAAAAUAGUAAACAACGAGCAAAACGUUGUAUAAAUGCUUGGAAACAAGGCCUAGGGUCCAUACUUUCACUAAUGCAAAUUUUCUGAACAAUACUGACAUAGUUGAAUCAUAUAUAAAUCCCUCACGUGCGACAAAGAGUUCACUCCAAAGUCACAAAUAUCGGAGAACAAACGAAGAAAUUAUUGUGGGGUACGAAACCACCUCAAAGUUAUCUUUUACGAUCAAUCUUAUGAGCUAUCCAUAUAAGUGUCACGAACAGUCCUAGAGUUCGUACUAAAAUAGCACCUUAAAAUACACAUUAACCAAAACCCUAAUGUCACCUAGAUACUCCAAUGUCACCACAAGUACCCAUGGGCUUGAUUAUACGAUAUGCAUCACACAAUUUCAGAUUCAUCAUGUUCAAUCCAACACAAAGAACAUCAAAGAGUGCCCCAAAGUUUCUACCGGAGAGUCAAGACGAAAACAUGUGCCAACUCCUAUGCAUAGAUUCUCAAGGUCAUGGAACCCGCAAGUUGAUCACCCAGACAUACAUCAAGUGGAUCAAUAGAACAUCCCAUUGUCACCACGUAUAUCCAAUCGCAAGACAUACAUCAAGUGUUCUCAAAUCCUUAUAGAGUCAAUCCGAUAGAAAAACUUCAAAGGAAAACUCAAUUCAUCUCAAGAAGAUAGAGAGGGGAAAACUCCAUAUGAUUCAUCUAUAUUAAUAAAGCUCACGAUACAUCAAGAUCGUGGCAUGUGAAGAACACGAGAGAUAGAGAUUAAACACAUACUACUAGUACAUACCCUCAGCCCCAAGGAGGAUUAAUCACACAUUAUCAUGGUGAGAAAGAGAGAUUUGUUGAUGAAGAGGUGUAGCCCCGAAGAGAUGGAGACGAUGGCGGCCACGACACCGGCGACGGGUGGCGACGGGCGGCGGCCCCUUGCCCCUCCGCCUUCCUUGGUCUUGGUGCUGCAAUGGAGGAGCCUCUCCCCUUCUUGGCGUUUGUCAAGGGAGAGACAAAAUCGUGGCUCUUGGUGCCUGCACCAAAAUUAGGGUUUUCUCUCUCUUUAUAUGUGCCUCUGUGGUGCUCUAUGGCCCUUCGAUGGAUGGAUCCUUAAUACAAUAGCUCUAGAGCACCUCUAGAACCUUCCUAGGGGAUCCUCACAGCCCUCAUGAGGUUCCAAAGUCGUGGCUUGGCCGAAUAUAUCAGAUAUGUUAAGAGUUGAACUCAAUCACGUCAACAAUUCUCGCGAUCGUGUAAUCAGAUAUUUGCCUUCAGUAAAACGGGUCUCCAGAUCUCAUACAAACUCCGUUUUAGAGGAAUUUGUAGUCCAGAAUCAUUGCCAUAAAAUUACCCACACUUUCCUUGUUUUAGAUUUUCCCAUUUGACGCCGUGUUCAGGGCUCCAACUGAUGAUCUCUAACAACUGUUUGUGGACAAAUUUCAGGAAAAUCAGAGUCCUCCUCCAACAAGGCUCCUUUUGUGUUUUUUCGACAAUUUCUAAUUAAUUCCUACAAAUAUAAGUGUGAAACAAGAACUUGUGCAAUUUGGCAACCAUUAAUAUGUUAGUCCAAAAAACAAUAUAAAGUUGUAGUAAAGUGAUUGUAAAACAUCCAAGAAUGAUAAUAUAACAACAUGAAACAAGCAAAAAUUAGACGUAUCAAGCUCUUUGACCCCGAGGGCAAGCACCACGUCAAGCACAUCGUCGAUGUCGAUGUCAAUGGUUUGGCGGUCAGGGUGGCUAAUGACUGGUUCGCCGGAGCUUCACAACAGUCAACCAACCACUACAAACCCGGUUGAAAGCACAACUUCUUCCUAGGUGGUUUUGAUAAUUAAUAACAACAUAUACUUCAUUGGACAAAUGAUUCUACCAAGUAUAUUUGAGAAACAUUGAAUGAAUAUAUUGGAAAAAGAUUGUGAGGAGAUCUCCUAGAUGCAUGGAACAUCUAUUGGCAACAAGCUUCAAGACUCUACACUUUGCUUUUAUGUGCGAAAUCACAAUGGAGUCCAUGGGAAAGUCAAUAUACUAUUAAAAGGGGAUAAGGUAUGUAUGAUGAUCUGGUUGCUCAAGUGCUUAGAGUUAUCCACCAAAAACCCUCAUGAAAUUCUCCCACAAAUAUUCUGUCCAAAGCCUAACACUCAAAUUCGAUGCCACCGAUAUUUCCAAAUCGACCCUACCGAGUUUUACCCUAAACAGAAUCCAGUGCCAACCCAACCAUCUCGGCGCCACCAAGUUUUGUUUUCGGUACAACCAAAAAAUAGUAACCAACUACAUGGUUGCCAUUUGCUAAAAAUAAGAAUUUCUGCUUCUUGCAAAUCGGUGCCAUCGAGUUUGGGUAACUUCCUAGGUCAGCCAAAUCGAACUCACCGAGAUUUAUAUAUCGGUCUCAUCGAAAUGCCAAAAGAUGCCAUUGUACUAGUGAGUGCAACCGAGCUGGGCAAUAAUAUUCAACAAUUGGAUUUUUGGAGAUGCCUAUAUAUACCCCUCCACCUACCUCUCAUUCUUAGAGGAAGCACUCAGAACAGACCAACACUUACCCCAUCUAUUUUUGGAGAGAGAACAACCUAUUCAUGUAUUGUGAUCAAGCUAUUCCACUCCAACCAUAUGGAUCUUGAUUUCUAGCCUCCCCAAGUUGCUUUCCACCCAAUCAAUCUCUUCUACCCAAGCUAAAUGUGUGAGAGAGUGAUUGAGUGUUGAGGAGACUAUCUUUGAAGUACAAGAGAAAGGAGUUCAUCAUACUUGCCACAUCUAUUACCUUUUGGAGAGUGGCGUCUCCUAGAUUGGUUAGAUGUCACUUGGGAGCCUCCGACUUGGUGUGGAGUGGAACCAAGAAGUUUGUAAGGGUAAGGAGAUUGCCUACUUCGUGAAGAUCUACCCCGAGUGAGGCUAGUCGUUCGUGAACAUAAGCCAUGGUGGAAUAGAAAAUGUUGCUUCUUCGUGGACCCUUCGUGGACUCAUGCAGACAUUACCCUCCAUGGGUCAAAGUAUCCAUCAACGUGGACGUACGAUAGCACCACCUAUGAGAACCACGCCAAAAAUCUAUGUGUCAUCUUUGCGUUUGAUCUUCCUAUCCCUAUCCUCUACUUACAUGUGCAUGUCUUUACUUUCCGCUGCUAUAUGCUUAGACUUGCACUUGUAGGGUGUGCUUGACUUGGUAUAAUUGCUAAAACUUGGCAACUAUUAGAAUUAGGAAAAGCCCAAGUUUUUAUUUGUCCAAGUAGUCUAAUCACCCCCUCCUCCUCUAGACAUACUUCGGAUCCUACAAGUGGUAUCAGUGCAUUGGUCUCCAUUGCAUUGGUUUCACAACCUACGAGAGUAUGCGUCUAGCGAGGGAAAUUACCAUCGGAAAGGUCGAUAUUUUGAUGGUACAAGCUUUUCUAGUUGGAAGCAUAAAAUGAAAAUGCGUAUUUUUGGCCAUGACCCUGCCGUUUGGGCUGUUGUUCGUGUUGGAUUGCAAGGUGAAUUCUUUGGUGAUGGAAAGGAACCGGAUCAUGAAGCGACUAGGGAAGAAUUGAGGAUGUUACAAUACAACGCUCAAGCAUGCGACAUUUUGUUCAACUGCCUAUGCCCCGAAGAGUUCAACAAGAUUAGCCGUCUUGAGAAUGCAAAGGAAAUCUGGGAUACUUUGGUUGAUAUGCACGAAGGUACCAAAUCCGUAAGGGAAUCUAAGUUGGAUGUUAUACAAAGUCAACUUGAAAAGUUCAAGAUGAAGGAUGGUGAAGGAGUCACUAAAAUGUACUCUAGGCUUGCUCUCAUCACAAAUGAUAUUGUCGGCUUAGGAAGCAAAGAGAUGACCGAUAAUUUCAUCAUCAAGAAGAUCCUUAGAGCCUUGGAUGGAAGUACGACACUGUGUGCACAUUGAUCCAAAUUAUGCCAAACUACAAAGAUCUCAAGCCUACGUAAGUCACUGUAAGGAUUGUUGCUUAUGAAAUGUCACUCAAAGACAAAGAAGAGCUUCAUAACAAGUCUAGCGAUGCAUACAAAGCUUCAAGCGACACUCCCGCUACCUCAAAUGACAACCUUCUUACCAAUGAAGAGAUAAGCCUCAUGGUCAAGAAAUUCAACAAGUUCUACAAGAGUAGAGGCAAAGAGAGAAGCUCUAACUCAAGAUAUGAAUAGAAGCGUUCAACUAGUCGUGACCGAAAUUGUUACAAUUGUGAAAGGCUCGGACAAUACUCCAAUGAGUGCAUGACCCCCACAAAAGAAGAGAAGAGUCACCUAUAAUAAGAAGCUCAAGAGAUGAUUCACCUCGAAGAGAGAGACGGAGUAGAGAAGGUCAUUAUGAACGAAGUUCCUCCGGAGAAGCAAGGACUCAGAGAAGAAGGACAAGUACACCAACAGCUACUCAAGAAUAAGACAUCAAGAUCAUGUUGGUGAAUGGGUAUCCGGCUAUGAAUUUGAGAAUCAAUCUGAGAGAAGCUACCACUCCAACUCCGAUCAUAGUCAAGAUGAAGGUGUUGCCGGAUUAACACUUGUUUCCUCCAACUCCGGUGACAUAUUUGAUUCACAAAAUGAAGGAAUUGUAAGUUGCUUCAUGCCUAAAGUCCCCAAGGCAUCACACCCCGAAUACGUUGACUUUAAUAGUGAUGAGGAAGACUUACUAGGAGAUAAUAACUUGAUCUUUGAUAAAACUAGUGAUAUCAAUGAAAAUGAACUUGAUAAUAAUCAUGCUAGUCAAGAUAAGUCAUGUGAUGAUGAUAAGAAGUAGAUUGCGCGUCUAACUAAAGAACUUAACACUCUUAAGUUAGCUCAUGAAUCUACUCAAGAAGAUCAUAGAGAUCUUCUAAGAACUCAUGAGAAGCUACCCUUCGAGAAGCUAAAUCUAGAGCAAGAACAUGAGUUUCUUAAAGCUAUCAAUGAUGAUAUUCGAAAUAAGAGUUCUUCUUAUCUAGCCAAAUGAUUACUCUUGUCUACUUUUCUUCCACAUGUUAAAUCUAAGCAAACUAGUAACAAAGGCAAGAAAGGUUCUUCAUCUAGUAGCAACAAUACAAAUGCUAAGUCAAAUGAUGUUUUCUCUUAGCCAUGUUACACUUGAGCAAGAAAAUGAUUUAUUGAAAGGAAUUAUAGAAAAAGGUGUCUACAAGAGUUUUGUUGGAACUAAGAAAUUUGAGGAGAUUUUACGCAAGCAAGGAUGGCACCGGAAGAACCAAUGCAUUGUGAUACGGAGCAUCCCAUGGUCAUCUCCAUGGAUCCAUCACCAACACCUCAAGCUCCAAGUGGUCCCAUGACAAGAGCCCGUGCACGUGCCAUUGAAACUGAGGUCACAUCUUUCCUUGCUCAUCCAUCGUUUUAUCCACUUGAUACAUGGUCACUACCUCAAGGGAAAACUCUUUGCAUACUCAGGUACUCGGAAGUUGAUCUUGGAACGACUAUGAAGAAACACGAGGACGCCAAUCUGAAUGCUCGAGCGGCCGGAUGACUGAGCUAGUUGUGACGUACCACACAUCCCAACGGCCGAACAUCCGACCCCUGGAGCUCCACCAAGUUGCACAUUACCGCGUCCGGAUGGCUGAGCCCUCCGGACGUUCGACAGCUCCAAGUCGAGCCCCAACCCUCGGAAAUCCAUACCCCGCUGGACGAUCGAGCCUCGAACGUCCGACAAGCUUCGGAAAUCCGACAACAACAUACCCGAGCUGGAACCCUCGGACGAACGGACCACUCCGGACGUCCGAGCCCCCACGAGCCUUCGGACGAUCGGCCUCCCCUGGAUUUCUGGACCCUAUUUACGUAGACGCUCUUGGGCUACGACCCAUGUACGCUUCUAUUUCAUCCAGUACUAUAUAUAGACUACCUCCUCCUCUUUCUAGGGUUAGAGCAUCUCCAGCGGUUCGGCCUCCCAGGGGCGUGAAAUAGCGCCGCCUGGGGGCGCGCCGACAAAAAAAAUCAGUGUGUGUGUNNNNNNNNNNNNNNNNNNNNNNNNNNNNNNNNNNNNNNNNNNNNNNNNNNNNNNNNNNNNNNNNNNNNNNNNNNNNNNNNNNNNNNNNNNNNNNNNNNNNNNNNNNNNNNNNNNNNNNNNNNNNNNNNNNNNNNNNNNNNNNNNNNNNNNNNNNNNNNNNNNNNNNNNNNNNNNNNNNNNNNNNNUCCCAGCCACCCCCAGGGUCGCCCCCAGCCGCCGAUUUCGGCCCAUUUUUGGUGCAAAUUGGCCCCCUUUCGUCGCAAAAUGAGACCAAUUUUGGCCCAUAUUCGGCGUGCUUCGGCACAAAUUGAACAUAUGCUUUAUUUUUUUAAUCACAUAGUUCAUCACAAAAUCAAUACAAAUCAANNNNNNNNNNNNNNNNNNNNNNNNNNNNNNNNNNNNNNNNNNNNNNNNNNNNNNNNNNNNNNNNNNNNNNNNNNNNNNNNNNNNNNNNNNNNNNNNNNNNNNNNNNNNNNNNNNNNNNNNNNNNNNNNNNNNNNNAAAUCAAUACAAAUCAAAAAUAGUUCAACAAAUCAAUACAAAUCAAAAUAUUUCAACAAAUAAAAACUCAUAAUUCAUCACACAUCGAGGUAGGGCCUCCAUAGGUUCUCCACCAAAUCGUCCUGAAGUUGUUGAUGCACGUGUGGGUCUUGGAUCUCCUGACGCAUGUUGAGGAAGGCAGUCCAGGUUGCCGGUAGCUGGUGAUCAACUUGGGCAAGAGGAACGUGCCUGUAAUAUGGUUCAGUGUCAAAUACUGGCUCUUCCUGCUCGCUCUCAAUGACCAUGUUGUGCAAGAUUACACAACAAGUCAUGACUUCCCACAUUUGAUCUUUCGACCAGGUCUGAGCGGGGUACCGAACAACAGCAAAACGAGAUUGGAGCACACCAAAUGCCGGCACGACAUCCUUCCUGCAAGCUUCUUGACGUUUGGCAAAGUAGGAGUUCUUGCCUCCUGGUGCAGGGUUUGAAACAAUCUUCACAAAUGUGGAACAUCUCGAAUAGAUGCCAUCUGCUAGGUAGUAUCCCUUGUUGUAGUGGUGCCCAAUGACCUCGUAGUUAACCGGAGGAGCAUGUCCUUCAACAAGAUUGGCAAAGACAUUCGAGCACUGCAGUAUGUUGAUGUCAUUGUGAGUUCCUGGCAUACCAAAGAAGGAGUACUUGUUGGGAAACGUUGCAUGGGAAACAAAAAAUUUCCUACGCACACGAAGACUUUUCAUGGUGAUGUCCAUCUACGAGAGGAGAUUUGGAUCUAGGUACCCUUGUAGAUCGCACAGCAGGAAGCGUUAAGAAACGCGGUUGAUGUAGUGGAACGUCUUCACGUCCCUCGAACCGCCCCAUGAACUGUCCCGCGAUCCGUUCCACAAACCGUCCCACGAUCCGUCUCACGAUCCGUUCCGAUGUAGUGCCGAACGGACGACACCUCCGCGUUCAGCACACGUACAACUCGAUGACGAUCUCCACCUUCUUGAUCCAGCAAGAGGGGGCGGAUAGGUAGAAGAGUUCUCCGGCAGCGUGACAGCGCGCCGGUGGUGGUGAUGAUCUACUCCGGCAGGGCUUCGCCUAAGCUCCGCAGAAAUACGAUCUAGAGGAAAAACUGCGUGGUAUAGGGUCGAGCAGCACGUGGCAAAGUUGUGUGUCAAAAACCCUCAAUACCUCUAGUAUAUAUAGGAGGGAGGGAGGGAGGGGAGAAGGCAGCCUCAAACCCUCAAGGUUUGGACGAAAUUGGAGGUGGAGGUGUCCUACUCCAAUCCUACUUGGAGUAGGAUUCCCCCUUCCCACUUGGAAACUCUUUCCACGUUGUAUUUUUUCCUUGUCAAACCUUCUGGGCCUUAGUGGGAACUUAUUACAGCCCACUAGGGGCUGGUUUAUCUCUUCCCAUAGCCUAUGAGACCCCUUGGGGCGUGACACCCCUCCCGAUGGUCCCCGGCACCCCUCCCGGCACUCCCGGUACACUACCGAUGAGCCCGAAACUUUUCCGGUGACCAAAACAGGACUUCCUAUAUAUCAAUCUUUACCUAUGGACCAUUCCGGAGCUCCUCGUGAUGUCCUGGAUCUCAUCUGGGACUCCGAACAACUUUCGGUUACCAACACCUAUAACUCAAAUACGCUUAAAACAUCAUCGAACCUUAAGUGUGCAGAGCCUGCGGGUUCGAGAACUAUGCACACAUGACCCGAGAGACUCCUUGGUCAAUAUCCAAUAGCGGGACUUGGAUGCCCAUAUUGGAUCCUACAUAUUCUCCGAAGAUCUUAGCGGUUGAACCUCAGUGCCAAGGAUUCAUAUAAUCCCGUAUGUCAUUCCCUUUGUCCUUCGGUAUGUCACUUGCUUGAGAUUCGAUCGUCGGUAUCCGCAUACCUAUUUCAAUCUCGUUACCGACAAGUCUAUUUACUCGUUCCCUAAUACAAGAUCCCGUGACUUACACUUAGUCACAUUGCUUGGAAGGCUUGUGUGUGAUGUUGUAUUACCGAGUGGGCCCCGAGAUACCUCUCCGUCACACGGAGUGACAAAUCCCAGUCUUGAUCCAUACUAACUCAACGGACACCUUCGGAGAUACCUAUAGAGCACCUUUAUAGUCACCGAGUUAUGUUGCGACGUUUGAUGCACACAAGGUAUUCCUCCGAUGCCAGUGAGUUAUAUGAUCUCAUGGUCAUAGGAACAAAUACUUGACACGCAGAAAACAAUAGCAAUAAAACGACACGAUCAAUAUGCUACGUUCAUAGUUUGGGUCUUGUCCAUCACAUGAUUCUCCUAAUGAUGUGAUCCCGUUAUCAAGUGACAACACUUGCCUAUGGUCAGGAAACCUUGACCAUCUUUGACCAACGAACUAGUCAACUAGAGGCUCACUAAGGACAGUGUGUUGUCUAUGUAUCCACACAUGUAUUUGAGUUUCCAAUCAAUACAGUUCUAGCAUGGACAAUAAAAGAUUAUUAUGAACAUGGAAAUAUAAUAAUAACUAAUUUAUUAUUGCCUCUAGGGCAUAUUUCCAACAGUCUCCCACUUGCACUAGAGUCAAUAAUCUAGUUCACAUCACCAUGUGAUUUCAACGAAUCCAACACCCAUAUAGUUCUGGGGUCUGAUCACGUCUUGCUCGUGAGAGAGGUUUCAGUCAACGGUUCUGAAACUUUCAGAUCCAUGUGUUCUUUAAAAAUCUUUAUGUCAUCUUAUAGAUGCUGCUACUACGUGCUAUUCGGAAAUACUCCAAAUAUAUACUCUACUAUACGAAUCCGUUUUACUACUCAUAGUUAUUCGGAUUAGUGUCAAAGCUUGCAUGAACGUAACCCUUUACGGAGAACUCUUUCACCACCUCCAUAAUCGAGAAAAAUUUCUUAGUCCACCAGUUACUAAGGAUAACUUUGACUGCUAUUCAGUGAUUCAAUCCCGGAUCACCCUCUGUACCCCUUAACAAACUUGUGGCAAGGCACACAUCAGGUGCGGUACACAUCUUGGCAUACUUUAGAGUCUAUGGCUAAGGCAUAGGGAACGACCUUCGCCCUUUCGCUUUCUUCUGCCGUGGUCGGGAUUUGAGUCUUACUCAAAUUCACACCUUACAAUACAACCAAGAACUCCUUCUUUGCCGAUCUAUUUUGAACUCCUUCAGAAACUUGUCAAGGCAUGCAUUUCAUUUGAAAGUUCUAUUAAGCGUUUUGAUCUAUCUCUAUAGAUCUUGAUGCUCAGUGUUCAAAUAGCUCUAUCUAGGUAUUCCUUUGAAAAACUCCUUUCAAACAACCUUUUAUGCUUCACAUAAAUUCUACAUUACUUCCGAUCAACAGUAUGUCAACCACACAUACUUAUUAGAAAUACUAUAGUGCUCCCACUCACUUCUUUGGAAAUAGAAGUUUCUCAUAAACCUUGUACAAACCCAAAAGCUUUGAUCAUCUCAUCAAAGCAUAUAUUCCAACUCCAAGUUGCUUGCACCAGUCCAUAAAAGGAUCGCUGGAGCUUGCAUACUUGUUAGUAUCCUUAGGAUCGACAAAACCUUCUGAUUGUAUCACAUACAAUCUUUCCUCAAGGAAACCGUCGAGGAAACAAUGUUUUGACUUCCUAUGUGCAAUAUUUCACAAAUAAUGCAGCAACUACUAACAUAAUUCCAACAGACUUUUAGCGUCGCUACGAGUGAGAAAGUCACAUCAUAGUCAACUCUUUGAUCUUGUCGAAAACAUCUUUGCGACAAGUCGAGCUUUUCUUAAUAGUGAAUUAUCACCAUCAUCGUAUGUCUUCCUUUGAAAGAUCCAUCUUUACUUAAUAGUCUUACUACCAUCAAGUAGUUAUUCCAAAGUCUACACUUUGUUUUAUACAUGGAUCCUCUCUCGGAUUUCAUGGCCUCCAGCCAUUUGUCGGAAUCCGGGCCCACCAUUGCUUCUCCAUAACUCGUAGCUUCAUUGUUGUUCAACAACAUGACCUCCAAGACAGGGUUACAGUACCACUCUGUAGUAGUACGCGACCUUUGUGACCUACGAGGUUUGUAGUAACUUGAUCCUAAGCUCUAAUGAUCACCAUCAUCAACUUCCACUUCGAUUGGUGUAGGCGCCACAGGAACAUCUUCCUGUGCCCUGCUACACACAGGUUGAAGUGACGGUUCACUAACCUCAUCAAGUUCCACCACCCUCCCACUCAAUUCUUUCGAGAAAAACCUUUCCUCGAGAAAGGACCCGUUUCUAGAAACAAACACUUUGCUUCCGGAUCUGAGAUAGGAGAUGUAUCCAUUUGUUUUGGAUAUCCUAUGAAGAUGCAUUUAUCCGCUUUGGGUUCGAGCUUAUCAGAGUGAAACUUUUUCACAUAAGCGUCGCAGCCCCAAACUUUCAAGAAAUGACAGCUCAGGUUUCUCCAAACCAUAAUCUAUACUGUGUCAUCUCAACGGAAAUACGUGGUGCCUUAUUUAAAGUGAAUGUGGUUGUCUCUAAUGCAUAACCCAUAAAUGAUAGUGGCAAUUCGAUAAGAGACAUCAUAGUAUGCAGCAUAUCAAAAUAGGGCGUGGCUAUGACGUUCGGACACACCAUCACACUAUGGUGUUCUAGGUGGCAUGUAUUGCGAAACAAUUUCCACAUUGUCUUAACUGUGUACCAAAACUCGCAACUCAGAUAUUCAUCUCUAUGAUCAUAUCGUAGACAGUUUAUCCUCUUGUCACGAUGAUCUUCACUCUGAAAUAGAUUUGGACUUUUCAAUAUUUCAGACUUGUGAUUCAUCAAGUAAAUACUCCUGUAUCUACUCAAAUUGUCAGUGAAGUAAGAACAUAACGAUAUCCACUGCGUGCCUCAACACUCAUUGGACUGCACACAUAAAAAAUGUAUUGCUCCCAACAAGUUACUAUCUUGUUUCAUGUGGCAUGAUUUGCAUGUCUCAAGUGAUUCAAAAUCAAGUGAGUCCAAACGAUCCAUCUCUAUGGAGCUUCUUCAUGCAUUUAUACCAACAUGACUCAAGUGGUAGUGCCACAAGUAAGUGGUACUAUCAUUAUUACUUUGUAUCUUUUGGCACAAAUAUUAUGAACAUGUGUAGCACUACGAUCGAGAUUCAAUAAACCAUUGAAGGUUAAUUAUUCAAGCGAAUAGAACAACUAUUAUUCUCUUUGAUUGAAUAAUGGUAUUGCAAUAAACACGAUCCAAUCAUGUUCAUGCUCAACGUAAACACCAAAUAACAAUUAUUUAGGUUUUACCACCAACCCCGAUGAUAGAGGGAGCGUGUGAUGUUUGAUCACAUCAACCUUGGAAACACUUCCAACACUUACCGUCACCUCGCCUUUAGCUAGUCUCCGUUUAUACCGUAGCUUUCAUUUCGAGUUACUAAUCACUUAGCAACCGAACCGGUAUCCAAUACCCUCGUGCUACUAGGAGUACUAGUAAAGUACACAUCAAUAUCAUGUAUAUCAAAUAUACUUCUGUCGACUUUGCCAUCCUUCUUAUCUACCAAGCAUCUAGGGUAGCUCCGCCUUAGUGACCGUUCCCCUCAUAACAGAAGCACUUAGUCUCGGGUUUGGGUUCAAUCUUGGGUUUCUUCAUUAGAGCAGCAACUGGUUUGCCGUUUCAUGAAGUAUCCCUUCUAUCCCUUGCCCUUCUUGAAACUAGUGGUUUUACUAACCAUCAACAAUUGAUGCUCCUUCUUGAUUUCUACUUUCAUAGUGUCAAACAUUGCAAAUCGCUCAAGGAUCAUCAUAUCUAUCCUCAAUAUGUUAUAGUUCAUCAUGAAGUUUCUCUAGGAACAUAUAAAAACAGUAGAGCUAUAGCGCAAGCUACAUCGUAAUCCGCAAAGACCAUUAGACUAUGUUCAUGAUAAUUAGUUCAACUAAUCAUAUUACUUAAGAACUCUCACUCAAAAAGUACAUCUCUCUAGUCAUUUGAGUGGUACAUGAUCCAAAUCCACUAUCUCAAGUUCGAUCAUCACGUGAGUCGAGAAUAGUUUCAGUGGUAAGCAUCUCUAUGUGAAUCGUAUCAACUAUACGAUUCAUGCUCGACCUUUCGGUCUCAUGUGUUCCGAUGCCAUGUCUGCACAUGCUAGGCUCGUGGAGCUUAACCCGAGUGUUCCGCGUGUGCAACUGUUUUGCACCCGUUGUAUGUGAACGUUAAGUCUAUCACACCUGAUGAUCACGUGGUGUCUCGAAACGACAAACUGUCGCAACGGCGCACAGUCGGGGAGAACACAAUUUCAUCUUGAAAUUUUAGUGAGAGAUCACCUCAUAAUGCUACCGUCGUUCUUAGCAAAAUAAGGUGCACAAAAGGAUUACCAUCACAUGCAAUUCAUAAGUGACAUGAUAUGACCAUCAUCAUGUGCUUCUUGAUAUCCAUCACCAAAGCACCGGCACGAUCUUCUUGUCACCGGUGCCACACCAUGAUCCCCAUCAUCAUGAUCUCCAUCAACGUGUUGCCAUCGGGGUUGUCGUGCUACUUAUGCUAUUACUACUAAAGCUACAUCCUAGCAAUAUAGUAAACGCAUCUGCAAACACAAACAUUAGUUUAAAGACAACCCUAUGGCUCCUGCCGGUUGCUGUACCAUCGACGUGCAAGUCGAUAUUAACUAUUACAACAUGAUCCUNNNNNNNNNNNNNNNNNNNNNNNNNNNNNNNNNNNNNNNNNNNNNNNNNNNNNNNNNNNNNNNNNNNNNNNNNNNNNNNNNNNNNNNNNNNNNNNNNNNNGCGAUGGAGGAGCUCCUUUGGAAGGGUAAGGCAACGAGGACGCCAAGCUACCAGGUAGUGGCUGGGCCGAGUACCAGCGAACGAGCGGCAUAUACAGGCCGCGUGACUGCGGCGUCUCGCCGGCCACCACGGCCAUCGUAGCCGUGGACACGGAUACAGGCUAGCUGGUUGUGGUACCGAUGCAGUCAGCAAUGUGGCAUCAAGAAUUGCUGUCAAAAAGAUAGUGUUCUCAAGUCUGGCAAAAUAGCUAAAGUACAGAGCUCCCAGAGAACCUGAUGUUUUGUUGCAAUAUCAUCCAAGUGCAGGAAUCAACUACCCAGGCAAGUCUGUCAGUGCAAACAAGGUAAAAAACUAGUUUCAGCAAAGCACAGCAGAUCGAUCACGAAGCGCAGAGCGAGCACACAACAAGGGCAGGGGUCAAGAACAGUUUCUGCUAUUUCGUGAUCUGAUCCCAAACACUCAGGUAGGGUUUCCGAAACAAAGGUACAUUCAGCUAUGCUAUUACAAAACCGACACGGUAAUAACGGAUCCAUUGCUUGUUUGCAGAUGCAGGUUUGAGACUGCCUCAGUUCAGCUUCUCGAGUAGCUCGUUGAUCUUGUCCCCGCGGUUGCCCGAGUCGCCACCAUCCUUGAAGGGUUUCUUCGCAGCCUCCUCUCCGGACACUUGAGCUUGAAGGGCAUGAGAAAGCUCGCCGUUUCCCUGAAGUGCGGCCCGACCGUGGAGAUUUCGUGUACGACAUCUUCUAAACAUAUGACGCCGUGUUCUCCAAGAGC